GGCUCUACCCUAACUUGGUCUGAUACGGGAUUAGAUUAAAAACCAGCAGAAAUAAGCAGUGCACAUAUCCACAGGAUUCUCCUUAUUCAAAAGCUAAUCAUCUGCAGACUUAGAAACUUACAGAUACAAGUCAUUCCUGUUAGCUUUUUGUUUUGCCUGGCUUGCACUUACCUCGCUGCGUUGCGUCCUUAAAGGGCCAUGUAUUGAUGACCAGGGGGAUCUGAGCGGUCGCAAGGAAGCAGGAGGCGCUCAGCGCGAAAAUCAGUGGAACGUAACCCGGGGAUCCCAUAGCAACGUGUGGCCGGCCCCCAUUCACAGAAACUCCGAGUCUCAUUCACAGCAAGCUCCGCUGCUACUCAGCCCGUCAAGAUCAGGACUUCCUCUUACACACCCACCUACGGUGGCUGCAAAAGGACGGCGAAGUUCUUCUUUGGUUAUACAAAAAGUGAGCUGCUCGGCCACCAUUUAAACGGCAAGAUAUCUCCAAGGAUGUGAAAGGUAGAACUGCUAGAAAUCUAUAAAAGGCACUAUCUGACCCAGUUCUCCAAUGUAAUCCCAUUAUUGCCUGAACAACUUGAUGGCAUUCGAGAUAAUGCCCCGUGAGAACAUGAAAGAUGCUGCCAGACCUGCUGAGCCUUUCCAACAAUUUAUGCUUUUGUUUCAGAAAAUAAAAGCUGUUUGGCUGGCAACCAGUCAUCAACCCAUUGGGAAGUAUAUCAUUUUCUUUUCUGUUAUAUACGUAUGCUAGCUCAGUAUGUUGUUUAUGGUGCUGCUCUUGAUGACAGUUGCUAUCACCAUCCUCUGUGAAUAUAGGAAAUUUCAGGGCUUGAUAGGUCUAAUGUGAUGGCAGAAAACCAUUUCCUGGUCCAGUUAGAAAAGCUUCUAUAAGUUAACAAGAGACAGUGUGUUGGAUUUUAGCAACUACAUUUUACACUGAUAUGAUAGCCACUGUUAUAAAGAUUUGGGGUGAUGAUAGGUCUCACUCAUGCUCACACAGACCCUAAACUGUUCUCCAAACAAGUCCACAUAACAUCACUCUAGUGGAUCGUUGUUAUGAUAGUCCUUAAUAUUACCAUGGGGGUGAGAAGAUAAUGGAACUAUUGUAUUUUCAUAGAGCUAGCAAUCAGGAGACCCAUGACAAUGCUCUGGGGACAUUGAUAAACAAAAUAAAAACAAUAGUAGGAUUCUUUUUAAAAAGCUAGUCUAACAAUGAUCAUAAAAUCAUUGUUGACUGUUGCAAAAACCCAUCUGGUUCACUGAUGUCCUCCCUUGAAGGAAGGAACAUCUGCCAUCCUCAUGUGGUCUGGCCUACAUGUGACUCCAGAUACAAAGUAGGUGACUCUCAAAUGACCUAGCAAGCUGAUGAGUAACUGCUACUAAUACUACAAAGCCUGAUAAAAGUAGAGAGUGGCAGACAACCCUGCUUUGACCAUGGCAGCAGAAAUGACAACAGCACACUCACAGUCCUGGAUACUCUGCAAUUUCUUCCAGAUGAAUAUCUAGGUACUAUUGAUUUAAAAAAACCAAAUUUAUACUAUGUCUCACAGUCUAGUCAAGAUAAUUAUUCUCACAAAAACAUACCUUAAGAUAAUGUCGCAGGUAUCACGAAGACCUGCCGCCAGAGGUGGUGACAUGGUGGUAUAUGAUUGGAAGGGACUUGCCCUGAGAAUCCUUUGGAAAUCAUAAUAUUUCAGGGCAUCAGAUCAAGUAUGGGUAACAAAACCACCCGCUGAUUGCCACCGUGCGUCUCCACUUAUUCCUCGGUCUCUACCUUGCCUCAUCUGACAAAUUAACCCUCCGUCUUAUUGAACACCAGUUGGAGUGAGCACUGAGGGUGACAAUGGCACACCCCUCUGGGUGGAGGGGCUUCAAUAUCCCUCACAAAGAAUGGCUUGGCAGUACCACUCCUGACUGAAUUGACCAAGUUCUAAAGGUCAUCAGUAUAAAACUAAACAUGCAGCAGGUAGUGAGGUAAAAAGACAAGUGAGAAAAGUAUACUUGUCUUCAUCCUUAUCAAUCUUCCUGUCACAGAUGCGCCAGCUCAUGACAGUACUAGUAGGAUUGACCAUCACAGAGUCUGUGUGAAGAUGAAGCCCUGCCAUCACAUUCAAGACACCCACCUCCACCACCAAUGUACUGAAUGUAAUAGAUUUUGAACAGAUCGAAGAAUUCUAAACCAGGCAUCCAUGAGAUACCGUGGGCCAUCAGAAGCAGCAGAAUUGUAUUCAAAAAUAAUGUCUAACCUCCCUAGCAGAUGCCUAUUCUAUCAUUACCAUCAAGCCAGGAAAUCAACUCUGAUUCAAUGAAAAGUGCAGACAGUUGCCAACAGCAACGCCAGGCAUACCUAAAAAUGAGGUGUCAAUCUGGUGAAGCUACAACGUAGAACUAUCUGUCUGUGAAAGCAAACAGCAGAAGCGGCCCAUCAUAGAUAUGGUUAAGUAAUCCCACAACCAAGAUUAGAUUUAGGUUCUGUAGUCCAGCAAAGUGCAUUUGGGAAUGGUUCUGGACAAGUAUGUAAGUAACUGGAGAAGAAGGCUUCACAAAUAUCCUCAUCUUUAACAAUGUGAAUCCCAGUAUAAGACUGCACAGCAAACAACAUUGAAUCAUUUGCAAGCAGUCAGCCAGCUGUGCCGGGUGGUGAGUGAAUCUUGGCAUCCUCCUGAGGUCCCCAGCAUCACAGUUGGCAGUUUGAUUCACUUCAUGUGAUAUCAAGAAACAGCUGAAGACACUGGAUGCCAUGAAGGCAGUUGACACUGACAGUAUUCCAGUAAUAGCACUGAGCUCACGUGCGAUAGAACUAACUGUUCCCUGAGACAUGCCACAAAACUGGCAUAUACCUCACAAUGAGGAAACUUGCCCAGAAUGUCCUGUAUAUUAAAAAAACAGGAAAAAUUGAAUCCUCCAAAUUACUGCUCGAUCGAUCUGUGCUCAAUCAUUAGUAAUGUGAAAGAAGGGUUCAUUGAUAUUUACAAUUAAGUGACACCAUGUUGCAUGCAUAUGUUAGCUCACUGUGUUGUAUGAGCAGCUGGUCAUGAUGAAGCCUACUGCCACUAUUCACUUUAUAUGUAUUAAAGUACAAAACCUGUUCAAUCUAGUAUGUUAGAGGAAAAUGGUCUCAUCCCGAGAAGUGUCUCUAGUAGUUACCAAAAUACAAUUUCUUGUAUGGUAAUGAUCACUUACAAAUUACACUAGAUGUUAGUUAUUGCACCUUUAAGAUCUAAAACUGCUCUGGUCUCAAGUUCACAUGCUGUCAUCCUCAUGUGUAGUGUUAAUGGAACUCCCUCAGUAAUAAUGCUCUACCCCUCUAAGACCCUUUAGAACCAUAUACACUACUUUCUAAUUGGAAGAGAAAGAUAAGGAUCAAUGUUUUGGCCAACGAAUGCUUGGAACGUGGAAGAAAAUCAUGUAAUGAAGCAUCCAGAAUAGAUAUAUUCACAGUUGAUAACCUUAAGGUAGUUGCUUGGGCUGGAAAACCCCUGUUAGUGCAUGAGUGGCAGGCAAUUUGUAACUUUGGGGUUGACUUGAUUUUCUCCCUCCAUAUUUGUGGACCACAAGAUAUUUCCCUUUGCUAAUAUUUUUCCAUUUUUCCUUCCUUCAAUACUCUGCUCCUGUAACCAUUUCUUCAAACCUCUGUCUUUUUAUUUUUAUCCUUAUGGCACCAUGUCCUCUACUAUUUAUCUUGCUCCAUUGUGAUUUUUGUUUUUUAAUCACGCUACUCUCUACCCUGUCACAGAUCUCUCCCUUUUCUCACAAACCCCAACCCCUUUUCCCAUUGGUCAUCUGUGAGUAUUUAAAACAUCGCUCUGGUGGCAGAGUACAGAAAGAAUAUCAACGUGUAUUCAAGGGUAUGUGUGGAAGCGGCUUCAACGAAGAGAACAUCUAGAAAACCUUACUUACAGCAAAUAUCUGUGCAGUAGUUUCAUUAGCUAGUAUGCUCCAUGUUUGAUUACAUUUUGUGUCCUCUCCCUUCAAUACAUUUUGUGUUCCAUAUACAAUCACACUUGUCACAUACAAACUGGUAAUACAUCCACAGAGAGAGAGAGAGGGACAGAGAGAGAGACAGAGAGAAAAAUAAACAUCACGAAUACCAGUAACCUGGGACCAGAAAAAACUUGAACAUCAUGAAUUCUAUUAGUCCUUUAUUUGCUAAAUCAACCCUAAAUUUGCAUAAAAGCUGUUUGCCUCUAAACCUUCUUUGGCAGUAAUUCCUAAGCCCAUGGCCUUACCAACCUAGAAAUACAAGAAUGCCUUCACCUGCAUGUUCCCUUUCAAGACACACACAUUCCUGACUUGCAAAUAUAUCAAAAUUUCUUCCUUGCUGAUGGGAACGAAAAUCCAGAAACUCACUCUCUAAUUUUAGUUAUAGGAAGUGGGUCAACUCCGUCAUCUCAAAUGAUGAGCAAUUAAUGUUGGCCUUGCAUCCAAAUCCCCAGAAACAAAAUAAGCAAAAAUUUGCUUCUGUAUUAAACAGCAGUGGAACAAUAGCUCUAAAUAAGUCCAAGAGCCACAUCUGACUGAGUAACAGAGUUGUCCUUUUAUGCCAUAUAUACACACUUGUUUCAAUGUAGAGAUAACAGCAAAUGACCUUUCAAUAUUCCUGACAAAGAUGCCAUUAAGAUUACCUUAUAGAAUGUUAUCAUGCUUAGACACCUGGAAGAAUCCACACAACAAACAUUAAAAGUGUCAAUGCAUCAAAAAAUGUAACACCAGUUCUGCUGCAGAAACAUCCUGCAAACAGCAAUGAAAUGAAUCCUAGUCUAUUCAUAUUGUAAUGCAACUAUAUGUGCAACAGCAAUAACAUGGGUACCUACGGGACAGAGACUGCAGUGGUUCAAGAGGCAGCUCUUCUGCCAUCAUCUCAAGGGUACCG